CUAAUACUCCCUCCGUCCGAAAAUAUUUGUCAUCAAAAAGGAUAAAAAGGGAUGUAUCUAGAACUAAAAUACAUCUUCUUUUAUUCAUUUUGAUGACAAGUAUUUCCGGACGGAGGGAGUAUAUU
rfam:Triticum aestivum genome assembly, contig: Triticum_aestivum_CS42_TGACv1_scaffold_513808_6BS